GUCUCUGACAUAUUUACCCCGAGGGACCAUCAGGGACCAGUAGAGGGCGAAGAGGGACUUGCUGGUCUCUGGCCCCUUCCUUUCCUACAAACUGGCCCCCGUCCUAGCCAUGAAGGCAGAAAGGUAUGGUUUUACUAUGUAGCCCAGGCUAGUCCAGGACCCUUCAGCUUCAGCCUCUUUCCUGCUGGGUUUGCAAGCAAGCACCAACAUGCCCAUUUUAAAUUUCUUUCAUUUUGUCAUUAUAUAAGAGAAUGCGCUGUGACUGGAGAGAUGACUCGGCUGUUAAGAGCAAAUACUGCUUCUCCAGAGGACCCGAGUUCAGUUCCCGGCACCCACAAUGGGCAGCUACAACCAUCUGUAACCCCAGCUCCAUAGAUUCAACUAUGUUUUCUGGCCUCCGUGGGCACUACACUGGCAUGGCAUACACAGACACACAUUUGAAAAUUAAAAAAAAUAAACAUAUAGAUAAAA